CUAGUGUUGCUGCAGCCAUCUUGCAACCACAAGGGACACUGGUCUUGCAGACAGAAGCCAAGCACAAAAAUGGGAGGCCCCUGAAAUACUGACCUACACCCAACUUUUGUAAUGUGAUGUGGAGGUCCCGACUGUCAAAGCCGGUUGUAGGCUCUUCUGUUCCUUAUAGCAGGGAGGAUCCCUCCACAGAGUCCUGAGCACACCGUGCACCGCCUGGGGUCUCUCCCACCUCAGGAGCAAGUCUCACUGCCAGGGGCUGGGAGGAAGCAACAUGCUCUCCUUGUUUUGCUCCUGCUGUGUCUCCUCUGUUGUUCCUCUUCCAUCCACACCUUUACCCACCUUGAAGACAACACUGCCUUCUUGGUUGGCCUUUCUGGGGCCCAGGAAUAGAGCUGACUAAGUGUCCCUCUCCCCCUUCCUGGGAGCAUGGCCUGGGCCUGAUUUGUUAGGCCUCCUUGCAGAGACUGGCUCAGGCCCUGGCACUUAACUUGUCCCCAGGAAUUGCUUAUUAAGAGCCCUAGUCAACAUGCGCGUGAUGAGAUGAACUCAACCUUGUCAGCAGGUGGGAGAAGUUUGAGCCGGAGCAUCUACUCCUCAGGCCUUAAGGGAUUUUAUCCCUAUGCUGCCCCCCUGAGUUCAAAGAAGCAGCAGGGCAGCUCAGACUCAGUGGAGCCUUGAGCCCAAGCGCGGUGAGGCUGUGGUGUCAACUCCAUCAUACAGACCAGGAAAUGGGGUCCCAGGAGAGUCAAAGUCACCCAGCAGGGCUGGUAUCUGCUUAUUCCCUGUGCUGGGCUGGACAAUGGGCCCCAAAGAUGCCCCAAUUCCCCCAGAAUCCACAAAUAUGCUAUUUUACACAACAAGAGGGACUUUGCAGACAUGAUAAAGUUACAGACCAUACGUUGGAGAGAUUAUCCAGGAUUAUCCAGAUGGGCCCAUUGUAAUCAUGCUGAGCCCUUAAAAGAGGAGGAGGAAGGCAAAGAGUGUGGGAGAAUUAGGAGGACAGAAAAGAGGCAGAAGCUUGCAAGAGGGAGACUGAGCCAGGCACUGCUGGCUUUGUUGAUGGAGGAAGCAGCCUCGGGCCUGGCCGACAGCCAGCAAGGAAACGAGGCCUCAGUCCUACCAUCGCGAGGAGCUGGAUUCUGCCAACAAGCCGAAUGAGCCAGGAAAGUGGAUUCCACCUUGGAACCUACUGGACUUCCAACUACUGUGAACUGCGAGCUAAUACAUCCGUUCUGUUUUAAGCCCGUAAACGUGUGGUCAUUUGUUAUGGGAGCAGUAGAAAAUGAGGCCCUCCCCCACCUCCUUUUCCACUGGGGAUGAGGGUCGGCCCUCAUCUCGGCCUUGAGUUGGUUCACAGCAUGGGACUCCCACCCCUGCUGCCCUGGAUCAGCGUGUAUGCUCACUCUCCAUGGUCUCCAGCUGGAAGACAGGCCAGCAGGACCAUGGAGCCCUACAGAGGCCAGGCUCCCUUGGCUUUGUGCCCAAAACAAAGCUCUAGAUAUGAGUGUACUUAAAAGUCAAGUGCUGACCCACUUUUUCCUGACUGCUCUGGCUUAGACAGGUCCCUCUGAAAGGAAAUUCACUUCCAGUACACACUGUUCCCAGGACUGACAUCACCCACCUCAGCUGGGAGGAGCAGCAAUACUUACAAGAGCUUUCAGGGGCUUGUGUCCAACAUCUGAUAAUGUAGCAAAGUCCUGCAAAAAGCUGUUGCUUUUUUUUUUAAACUGCGUCAGCCUGGUGAUGGCAGGGCUGGGAGUUUGGCCUGAGUUAGAAUCUCCAGCAAAGAGAAAUGCGUGUGGUGUUUGAUCCCCAGCACUCCAGCCC
ensembl:lncRNA